AAGUCGUAACAAGGUUUCCGUAGGUGAACCUGCGGAAGGAUCAUUACCGAGUACCGGGUCCUCUGGGCCCAUGCUCCCACCCUAUGUGUACCUACCGAAUUUUCGUUGCCUCGGCGGGGUCGAUCCCCAGGGCCUAACCGCUCUGUGGGGGACCCGCCGGGGGGACACCACCAAACUCUUGUCAACCUUGACGUCUGAGAAAAUCUUAAUAAAUUAAAACUUUCAACAACGGAUCUCUUGGUUCUG
rnacentral:misc_RNA from 1 species